AACGAACGCUGGCGGCAGGCCUAACACAUGCAAGUCGAGCGAGGACUUCGGUCCUAGCGGCGGACGGGUGAGUAACGCGUGGGAACGUGCCCUUUGCUACGGAAUAGCCCCGGGAAACUGGGAGUAAUACCGUAUGUGCCCGAGAGGGGAAAGAUUUAUCGGCAAAGGAUCGGCCCGCGUUGGAUUAGGUAGUUGGUGGGGUAAUGGCCUACCAAGCCGACGAUCCAUAGCUGGUUUGGGAGGAUGAUCAGCCACACUGGGACUGAGACACGGCGCAGACUCCUACGGGCGGCAGCAGUGGGGAAUCUUAGACAAUGGGGGAAACCCUGAUCUAGCCAUGCCGCGUGAGCGAUGAAGGCCUUAGGGUUGUAAAGCUCUUUCAGUGGGGAAGAUAAUGACGGUACCCACAGAAGAAGCCCCGGCUAACUCCGUGCCAGCAGCCGCCGUAACAC
rnacentral:rRNA from 1 species